GACGAACCGUGCGACCGUUAUUCGGAAUUACUGGGCGUAAAGGGCUCGUAGGCGGCCAACUAAGUCAGACGUGAAAUCCCUCGGCUUAACCGGGGAACUGCGUCUGAUACUGGAUGGCUAGAGGUUGGGAGAGGGAUGCGGAAUUCCAGGUGUAGCGGUGAAAUGCGUAGAUAUCUGGAGGAACACCGGUGGCGAAGGCGGCAUCCUGGACCAAUUCUGACGCUGAGGAGCGAAAGCCAGGGGAGCAAACAGG
rnacentral:rRNA from 1 species